rnacentral:rRNA from 1 species
AUUGAACGCUUGCGGCAGGCCUAACACAUGCAAGUCGAACGAGUGGCGGACGGGUGAGUAAUGUCUGGGAAACUGCCCGAUGGAGGGGGAUAACUACUGGAAACGGGAGCUAAUACCGCAUACCAUCGGAUGUGCCCCUAUGGGAGUAGCUAGUAGGUGGGGUAACGGCUCACCUAGGCGACUAUCCCUAGCUGGUCUGAGAGUAUGACCAGCCAACCUGGAACUGAGACACGGUCCAGACUACUACGGGAGGCAGCAGUGGGGAAUAUUGCACAAUGGGCGCAAGCCGGAUGCAGCCAUGCCGCGUGGAUGAAGAAGGCCUUCGGGUUGUAAAGUACUUUCAUCGGGGAGGCGUUACCCGCAGAAGAAGCACCGGCUAACUCCGUGCCAGCAGCCGCGGUAAUUC